AAAAAAAAAAAGGGAUUUGUGGAAUGGGAAACUUCACUAUGGAUAGACAUGUCUUACAAAAAAUCAUAUCUCAUGAAUCUGGGUAAAAUCUUGUUAAGAUUGUACUGUAUUUAAAAUAAAAUUGCACUACUUUUGGAGCAAUUUGACUUUAAUCCUUUUUGUAGCCGGAUCUUUUGUUUCGCUGGAUUUUUUGCUGUUUUGAUUUGAACUUUCUACUUGCUACCUUGUUCAUGGUUCUAGCAAGUACUAAUUUUUCAAUUACAUCCUUUUCAAUAUUACCAAGAUUUCUUAGACUAUCUUUGCAUUUGUGACCGUUAUAUAGCCCCAGCCUGGAGUGCAAAAUGUUUUAUGGUUUUCUCUUUCUAAGAGCAUGAAAAAACCCAGGCAAAAUAAGACCCCUCCAAGGCUCCAACUAUGGCACAGACCCAGAGUCAGUCCAACUCGGGCUUGAUGAUUGUUGAUUUCUUUUCCAUUUUUUUUUUUUUUAAAUGUAGUU
rnacentral:misc_RNA from 1 species